rnacentral:rRNA from 1 species
AACGAACGCUGGCGGCGCGCCUAACACAUGCAAGUCGAACGAGAAUCCGGGGCAACCCGGUAGUAAAGUGGCAAACGGGUGAGGAAUACAUGGGUAACCUACCCUUGAGAAGGGAAUAACCCGCCGAAAGGUGAGCUAAUACCCUAUACGCUAUCUUUUUUUCGAAAAGGAUAGGAAAGCCGGGGUCGAGGACCUGGUACUCAAGGAGGGGCUCAUGUCCUAUCAGCUUGUUGGUGGGGUAACGGCCUACCAAGGCUACGACGGGUAGCUGGUCUGAGAGGAUGAUCAGCCACACUGGCACUGAGAUACGGGCCAGACUCCUACGGGAGGCAGCAGUGAGGAAUA